GAACUAUGCCUGAGCGGGG
rnacentral:siRNA from 1 species